rnacentral:rRNA from 1 species
UACGGGGGGAGCAAGCGUUGUUCGGAUUUACUGGGCGUAAAGGGCGCGUAGGCGGCCACCGCAAGUCAGUUGUGAAAUCUCUGGGCUUAACCCAGGAAGGUCAACUGAUACUGCGGGGCUAGAGUGCAGAAGGGGCAACUGGAAUUCUCGGUGUAGCGGUGAAAUGCGUAGAUAUCGAGAGGAACACCUGCGGCGAAGGCGGGUUGCUGGGCUGACACUGACGCUGAUGCGCGAAAGCUAGGGGAGCGAACGGG